GUGGGGAAUAUUGGACAAUGGGCGAAAGCCUGAUCCAGCCAUGCCGCGUGUGUGAAGAAGGUCUUCGGAUUGUAAAGCACUUUAAGUUGGGAGGAAGGGCAUUAACCUAAUACGUUAGUGUUUUGACGUUACCGACAGAAUAAGCACCGGCUAACUUCGUGCCAGCAGCCGCGGUAAUACGAAGGGUGCAAGCGUUAAUCGGAAUUACUGGGCGUAAAGCGCGCGUAGGUGGUUCGUUAAGUUGGAUGUGAAAGCCCCGGGCUCAACCUGGGAACUGCAUCCAAAACUACUGAGCUAGAGUACGGUAGAGGGUAGUGGAAUUUCCUGUGUAGCGGUGAAAUGCGUAGAUAUAGGAAGGAACACCAGUGGCGAAGGCGACUACCUGGACUGAUACUGACACUGAGGUGCGAAAGCGUGGGGAGCAAACAGGAUUAGAUACCCCAGUAGUCC
rnacentral:rRNA from 1 species